UCCCUGAUGUUAGCGGCGGACGGGUGUUUUAACACGUGGGUAACCUGCCUGUAAGACUGGGAUAACUCCGGGAAACCGGGGCUAAUACCGGAUGGUUGUUUGAACCGCAUGGUUCAGACAUAAAAGGUGGCUUCGGCUACCACUUACAGAUGGACCCGCGGCGCAUUAGCUAGUUGGUGAGGUAACGGCUCACCAAGGCGACGAUGCGUAGCCGACCUGAGAGGGUGAUCGGCCACACUGGGACUGAGACACGGCCCAGACUCCUACGGGAGGCAGCAGUAGGGAAUCUUCCGCAAUGGACGAAAGUCUGACGGAGCAACGCCGCGUGAGUGAUGAAGGUUUUCGGAUCGUAAAGCUCUGUUGUUAGGGAAGAACAAGUGCCGUUCAAAUAGGGCGGCACCUUGACGGUACCUAACCAGAAAGCCACGGCUAACUACGUGCCAGCAGCCGCGGUAAUACGUAGGUGGCAAGCGUUGUCCGGAAUUAUUGGGCGUAAAGGGCUCGCAGGCGGUUUCUUAAGUCUGAUGUGAAAGCCCCCGGCUCAACCGGGGAGGGUCAUUGGAAACUGGGGAACUUGAGUGCAGAAGAGGAGAGUGGAAUUCCACGUGUAGCGGUGAAAUGCGUAGAGAUGUGGAGGAACACCAGUGGCGAAGGCGACUCUCUGGUCUGUAACUGACGCUGAGGAGCGAAAGCGUGGGGAGCGAACAGGAUUAGAUACCCUGGUAGUCCACGCCGUAAACGAUGAGUGCUAAGUGUUAGGGGGUUUCCGCCCCUUAGUGCUGCAGCUAACGCAUUAAGCACUCCGCCUGGGGAGUACGGUCGCAAGACUGAAACUCAAAGGAAUUGACGGGGGCCCGCACAAGCGGUGGAGCAUGUGGUUUAAUUCGAAGCAACGCGAAGAACCUUACCAGGUCUUGACAUCCUCUGACAAUCCUAGAGAUAGGACGUCCCCUUCGGGGGCAGAGUGACAGGUGGUGCAUGGUUGUCGUCAGCUCGUGUCGUGAGAUGUUGGGUUAAGUCCCGCAACGAGCGCAACCCUUGAUCUUAGUUGCCAGCAUUCAGUUGGGCACUCUAAGGUGACUGCCGGUGACAAACCGGAGGAAGGUGGGGAUGACGUCAAAUCAUCAUGCCCCUUAUGACCUGGGCUACACACGUGCUACAAUGGACAGAACAAAGGGCAGCGAAACCGCGAGGUUAAGCCAAUCCCACAAAUCUGUUCUCAGUUCGGA
rnacentral:rRNA from 1 species